rnacentral:rRNA from 1 species
GAUGAACGCUGGCGGCGUGCCUAAUACAUGCAAGUAGAACGCUGAAGCUUGGUGCUUGCACCGAGCGGAUGAGUUGCGAACGGGUGAGUAACGCGUAGGUAACCUGCCUCUUAGCGGGGGAUAACUAUUGGAAACGAUAGCUAAUACCGCAUAAAAGUCGAUAUCGCAUGAUAUUGAUUUGAAAGGUGCAAAUGCAUCACUAAGAGAUGGACCUGCGUUGUAUUAGCUAGUUGGUGAGGUAACGGCUCACCAAGGCGACGAUACAUAGCCGACCUGAGAGGGUGAUCGGCCACACUGGGACUGAGACACGGCCCAGACUCCUACGGGAGGCAGCAGUAGGGAAUCUUCGGCAAUGGGGGCAACCCUGACCGAGCAACGCCGCGUGAGUGAAGAAGGUUUUCGGAUCGUAAAGCACUGUUGUAAGAGAAGAACGAGUGUGAGAGUGGAAAGUUCACACUGUGACGGUAACUUACCAGAAAGGGACGGCUAACUACGUG